GGCUCUGUGGCGCAAUGGAUAGCGCGUUGGACUUCUAAUUCAAAGGUUGUGGGGUUCGAGUCCCACCAGAGUCG